CACCCCACUGACUACCUCCGGUAUCUGGUUCGGUCAGGGGCCCCAUAGAUACCGGAUCCCGUCUCCGGGGAACA
rnacentral:pre_miRNA from 1 species